rnacentral:rRNA from 1 species
UACGUAGGGGGCGAGCGUUGUCCGGAUUCAUUGGGCGUAAAGCGCUUUAAGGCGGUUCGGUAAGUCGGGUGUGAAACCUCCAGGCUCAACCUGGAGACGCCACUCGAUACUGCUGUGACUAGAGUUCGGUAGGGGAUCACGGAAUUCCUGGUGUAGCGGUGAAAUGCGCAGAUAUCAGGAGGAACACCGGUGGCGAAGGCGGGUCUCUGGGCCGAUACUGACGCUGAGGAGCGAAAGCGUGGGGAGCAAACAGG